rnacentral:rRNA from 1 species
GAUGAACGCUGGCGGCGUGCCUAAUACAUGCAAGUCGAGCGAACAGACGAGGAGCUUGCUCCUCUGACGUUAGCGGCGGACGGGUGAGUAACACGUGGAUAACCUACCUAUAAGACUGGGAUAACUUCGGGAAACCGGAGCUAAUACCGGAUAAUAUAUUGAACCGCAUGGUUCAAUAGUGAAAGACGGUUUUGCUGUCACUUAUAGAUGGAUCCGCGCCGCAUUAGCUAGUUGGUAAGGUAACGGCUUACCAAGGCAACGAUGCGUAGCCGACCUGAGAGGGUGAUCGCCCACACUGGAACAGAGACACGGUCCAGACUCCUACGGGAGGCAGCAGUAGGGAAUCUUCCGCAAUGGGCGAAAGCUUGACGGAGCAACGCCGCGUGAGUGAUGAAGGUCUUCGGAUCGUAAAACUCUGUUAUUAGGGAAGAACAAAUGUGUAAGUAACUAUGCACGUCUUGACGGUACCUAAUCAGAAAGCCACGGCUAACUACGUG